GCGGAGGAAAAGAAACCAACAGGGAUUGCCCUAGUAACGGCGAGUGAAGCGGCAACAGCUCAAAUUUGAAAUCUGGCUCUUUCAGAGUCCGAGUUGUAAUUUGCAGAGGGCGCUUUGGCUUUGGCAGCGGUCCAAGUUCCUUGGAACAGGACGUCACAGAGGGUGAGAAUCCCGUACGUGGUCGCUAGCUAUUGCCGUGUAAAGCCCCUUCGACGAGUCGAGUUGUUUGGGAAUGCAGCUCUAAAUGGGAGGUAAAUUUCUUCUAAAGCUAAAUAUUGGCCAGAGACCGAUAGCGCACAAGUAGAGUGAUCGAAAGAUGAAAAGCACUUUGGAAAGAGAGUCAAACAGCACGUGAAAUUGUUGAAAGGGAAGCGCUUGCAGCCAGACUUGCUUGCAGUUGCUCAUCCGGGCUUUUGCCCGGUGCACUCUUCUGCAGGCAGGCCAGCAUCAGUUUGGGCGGUGGGAUAAAGGUCUCUGACACGUUCCUUCCUUCGGGUUGGCCAUAUAGGGGAGACGUCAUACCACCAGCCUGGACUGAGGUCCGCGCAUCUGCUAGGAUGCUGGCGUAAUGGCUGUAAGCGGCCCGUCUUGAAACACGGACCAAGGAGUCUAACAUCUA
rnacentral:rRNA from 1 species